GUCAAUGUAGCUCAGUUGGUUAGAGCACGACAUUCAUAUCGUCGCGGUCGGCGGUUCAAAUCCGCCCAUUGACA
rnacentral:tRNA from 3 species